GACGAACGCUGGCGGCGUGCCUAACACAUGCAAGUCGAACGGAGAUACGAUUUCGGUUGUAUCUUAGUGGCGAACGGGUGAGUAACGCGUGAACAACCUGACUCUAAGAGGGGGAUAACACUCGGAAACGGGUGCUAAUACCGCAUAAGACCACGACCCGGCAUCGGGAUGAGGUCAAAGGAGCAAUCCGCUGAGAGAGGGGUUCGCGUCCCAUAAGAUAGAUGGCGGGGUAACGGCCCACCAUGUCAACGAUGGGUAGCCGAGCUUAGAGGCUGAUCGGCCACACUGGAACUGAGACACGGUCCAGACUCCUACGGGAGGCAGCAGUGGGGAAUAUUGGGCAAUGGGCGCAAGCCUGACCCAGCAACGCCGCGUGAGGGAAGAAGGCUUUCGGGUUGUAAACCUCUGUCCUUGGUGACGAAACAAAUGACGGUAGCCAAGGAGGAAGCCCCGGCUAACUACGUGCCAGCAGCCGCCGUAA
rnacentral:rRNA from 1 species